rfam:Trichuris trichiura, WGS project CBXK01000000 data, contig: TTRE_1324
AAAACGGCCCUUUUCAGGGCUACUAAAUCGAGUGCGAAUAUUCUUG